AGCUCCAAUAGCGUAUAUUAAAGUUGUUGCAGUUAAAAAGCUCGUAGUUGGAUUUCUGGCAGGAGCACGGGUCGGCCCUCACGGGUUGUACUGUUGUUGCGUCCUGCCGUUUCGGAGGGAAUGGUCUCGCUAUUAGGUUAGUGGGGUCGGGAACUCUGUCGUUUACUGUGAAAAAUUAGAGUGUUCAAAGCAGGCCUUCGCUGUGAAUACAUUAGCAUGGAAUAAUAAGAUAGGACUAUGGUGCUAUUUUGUUGGUUUGCGUACUAUGGUAAUGAUUAAUAGGGAUAGUUGGGGGUAUUCAUAUUCAAUUGUCAGAGGUGAAAUUCUUGGAUUUAUGGAAGAUGAACUACUGCGAAAGCAUUUACCAAGGAUGUUUUCA
rnacentral:rRNA from 1 species